UUUUCUUAAUAACAUCGUCUUUCCUCUAGCUUACUUUAUGGAAGAUUCUUCUCUGAGAAGAUUCUCUUCUCUGACUUGGAGAGACUUCCCUAUUCAAGAUGCUCCCUCCCCUUCGAUGGAGAAGAGGCAUUUUCCUGAUGGGGCCGAGCGCUGCCUUCUUCCGCAUUCCUCUGGUCAAAGGAAGCGUGGGUCCCGAGGACCACAGGGCUCACAGUGGGGAGGGCGUGUGGCUGCUUCCUCAGGACAGGAGGGACCUGCGUGAUGAGGGGACACAGGACACGUGGAGACAGAGGCAUAAGGCUUUCCAGAGGGGCCUAGGGAGGGGAGGGGGGCAUGAUCCCACCCGCUCUGGGCAUCUAAGAUGUUCUGACAUAUUGGUGGGAGAGGGGGCCGCAGAGCCUGCUUAUCCUAGGGGGCCAUCUGAGGGGCUCAGGCUCCCGUGCCCUUGGUCGCACAUUUCCUGGACCUCUGCCAUGCACCGGGUACCAAGCACCCACCCCUCACUACUCCCACAGACGCCCCGUUGGGGGACUCCGUUGCCCUGGGCUGCCAGGGAGGAAACUAAGUCCCACAGCUGUUAAAAAACUCCCCCAAAUCACACAACCAGCAGCAGGCAGAGCCCUAACGUCACCAACGCGAGCUGUCCCUUGACCUCCUGGGGCCCCGUCUUGUAGAGGGAGAGUAGAGGCUCAGGGGAGAUACGCGGUGUAAGGGGCCACGUAGCAGCUGGGUGGCCCGGGUGCAUUCUUUAACCUCUCUUUGCCCCGUCCUGGUGGCCUCACCUGUCGGGGGGUGGGAACAGCUCCCCGUUCACCAAGUUGCCGCAGGGACUCUAAGAGCCGAGAGCUUGGCGUGGCCCCUGGCAUGUAGCCAGCGCCCGCUAAGUGGUGGCUGCAGCCAUGGCCAUGCUCCACGGACACCAGGGGUCCCCUUGCUCUGGGCACCUCCGUGCAGAGCCCUUCUUACAGCAGCUCGCUCGAGGGGGUGGGUUUCUCUGUCGAAGCCGGAGGUGUCAGGGGGGGCCAACCUCAGCCUCAGCCUGAGCCAAAUGUCACCGGAAAGGCACAGCCUGUGGUUGUGUUGACACUCCCCCCCCCUCUUGAGCCCUAGAAACCUGCUGUGCACACAGGGUCCCCAAGGCGGAGGGCCUCCUGGGGCAGAUUGCGUGGGACCGGGGCCUCUGAAAACCAGGGGGGAAGGGGUGAGGACAGCAACAGGACCGGGUCCUCAGUGAGGGGCUGGGGAGGCGGGCCGGUGGAGCAGGUUGUUGGUAGUUGCUGGGGGAUCAGGGCCACUCAUCAGGCCUUCUGGUUACUGGCGCUUUCCCUCCGCCUGGGAGUCCCGGCCCUCUUGGGGGCAACGCACCACACCUCUGCAGCCUGGGUGUGGCCACGGACCUGGCUCAGCCUGACAGGGACGUGGAUCCCAAGGAAGGCGUGUGUAGAUGCAGGUGUGGGGAGGCCCCGUCUGGCAGGGGUGCGGCUGCGGGCGGGGUAUUUGUGCCUCUGGUUCCCCCAGAGACUGACUUUGGCAUCCGCCUGGAAUCCUUCAAUAAAUUCUUUUUCUCCUUAAACACA